rnacentral:rRNA from 1 species
AUUGAACGCUGGCGGCAUGCUUUACACAUGCAAGUCGAACGGCAGCGCGGGCUUCGGCCUGGCGGCGAGUGGCGAACGGGUGAGUAAUGCAUCGGAACGUGCCCAGUAGUGGGGGAUAGCCCGGCGAAAGCCGGAUUAAUACCGCAUACGACCUGAUGGUGAAAGCGGGGGACCGAAAGGCCUCGCGCUAUUGGAGCGGCCGAUGUCGGAUUAGCUAGUUGGUGGGGUAAAGGCUUACCAAGGCGACGAUCCGUAGCUGGUCUGAGAGGACGACCAGCCACACUGGGAGUGAGACACGGCCCAGACUCCUACGGGAGGCAGCAGUGGGGAAUUUUGGACAAUGGGGGCAACCCUGAUCCAGCCAUGCCGCGUGCGGGAAGAAGGCCUUCGGGUUGUAAACCGCUUUUGUUCGGGAAGAAAUCCUCUGGGCUAAUACCCCGGGGGGAUGACGGUACCGGAAGAAUAAGCACCGGCUAACUACGUG